rnacentral:tRNA from 1 species
CUCCGCUUGGUGUAGUUGGCUCAUCACGUUCGACUGUAAAUCGAAAGGUCCCUAGUUCGAUUCUGGGAGCGGAGA